rnacentral:rRNA from 1 species
UACGUAGGGUCCGAGCGUUGUCCGGAAUUACUGGGCGUAAAGCGCGCGCAGGCGGCCCGCGAGGUGUCACGUGAAAGCCCCGGGCUCAACCCGGGAGGGUCGUGGCAAACCGGCGGGCUUGAGGCCGGUAGAGGUGGGUGGAACUCCUGGUGGAGUGGUGAAAUGCGUAGAGAUCAGGAAGAACACCCGUGGCGAAGGCGGCCCACUGGGCCGGUACUGACGCUGAGGCGCGAAGGCGUGGGUAGCAAACAGG